rnacentral:rRNA from 1 species
CGGGUGAGUAACGCGUGGGUAACCUGCCUCAUACAGGGGGAUAACAGUUGGAAACGGCUGCUAAUACCGCAUAAGCCCACGGCUCGGCAUCGAGCAGAGGGAAAAGGAGCAAUCCGCUUUGAGAUGGCCUCGCGUCCGAUUAGCUAGUUGGUGAGGUAAUGGCCCACCAAGGCAACGAUCGGUAGCCGGACUGAGAGGUUGAACGGCCACAUUGGGACUGAGACACGGCCCAG